rnacentral:rRNA from 1 species
CACGGAAUUAGCCGGUCCUUAUUCAUGCGGUACAUGCAAUGAUGGACACGUCCAUCACUUUAUCCCCGCAUAAAAGCAGUUUACAACCCAUAGGGCCGUCAUCCUGCACGCUACUUGGCUGGUUCAGACUAUCGUCCAUUGACCAAUAUUCCUCACUGCUGCCUCCCGUAGGAGUUUGGACCGUAUCUCAGUUCCAAUGUGGGGGACCUUCCUCUCAGAACCCCUACUGAUCGUUGCCUCGGUGAGCCAUUACCUCACCGACAAGCUAAUCAGACGCAUCCCCAUCCAUCACCAAUUAAUCUUUCAUCCAAAUUAGAUGCCUGCUUCGGAUGACAUAAGGUUUUAGGCCGUACUUUCGACGGGUUAUCCCUUAGUCAUGGGUAGGUUGGAUACGCGUUACUCACCCGUGCGCCGGUCGCCAUCAAUGAUUGCAAGCAAUCAUCAUGCUGCCCCUGACUGCAUGUGUAGG